UACGUAGGGUGCAAGCGUUUGUCCGGAAUUAUUGGGCGUAAAGAGCUCGUAGGCGGUUUGUCGCGUCUGCUGUGAAAACCCGAGGCUCAACCUCGGGCCUGCAGUGGGUACGGGCAGACUAGAGUGCGGUAGGGGAGAUUGGAAUUCCUGGUGUAGCGGUGGAAUGCGCAGAUAUCAGGAGGAACACCAAUGGCGAAGGCAGAUCUCUGGGCCGUAACUGACGCUGAGGAGCGAAAGUGUGGGGAGCGAACAGG
rnacentral:rRNA from 1 species